CGGCGGACGGGUGAGUAACACGUGGAUAACCUACCUAUAAGACUGGGAUAACUUCGGGAAACCGGAGCUAAUACCGGAUAAUAUAUUGAACCGCAUGGUUCAAUGGUGAAAGACGGUUUUGCUGUCACUUAUAGAUGGAUCCGCGCCGCAUUAGCUAGUUGGUAAGGUAACGGCUUACCAAGGCAACGAUGCGUAGCCGACCUGAGAGGGUGAUCGGCCACACUGGAACUGAGACACGGUCCAGACUCCUACGGGAGGCAGCAGCG
rnacentral:rRNA from 1 species